AUACGGAGGGUGCAAGCGUUAUUCGGAAUCACUGGGCGUAAAGGACGCGUAGGCGGGUUGGCAAGUCAGAUGUGAAAUCCUACAGCUUAACUGUAGAACUGCAUUUGAAACUGCUAACCUAGAGUAUGGGAGGGGGAGAUGGAAUUAGUGGUGUAGGGGUAAAAUCCGUAGAUAUCACUAGGAAUACCGAAAGCGAAGGCGAUCUCCUGGAACAUAACUGACGCUAAGGUGUGAAAGCGUGGGGAGCAAACAGGAUUAGAAACCCUUGUAGUCC
rnacentral:rRNA from 1 species